rnacentral:lncRNA from 1 species
UCCUUCUGAAGUGGAAUGAAAAACAAUACCUCACGAUAAUAAUAAAAAAAAAUAAAAAAUUUAUCUCGACGUAGAUCGUGGUUUCCUUCGACGCACCGAGAUGACGAUGGGGAAAACUUUUCCUGAUGUGUCGUUGGGACUUCCCUAUCCCCGAUAGACGGUGGAGACAUUGAGCUUACUCCACAAUUAACGUUGUCCAUAGUCGGCAUGGACUACGUCAGGAAUAAGGAGAUGCCGACGUUGUCCCAUUAGCGCAACGGAAAAAGCUGCCUCAAUGUAGUAUUCCCAAUGUUUUACUCGACAUAGAUUCUAACGACGAUAAAACCUUGGCCAACGCACUUUGCUAUUUUGGCCGACGAACUGCGACAUCGGAGACGCCCCAAGAUCCUAGUAGUGGCGGUAUUCAUCUUCCAUAAUUAUGUCAUUUGGAUGGUGUUUGACCUGUGGAAAAGAUAUAACAAAUAGUAUGUUAUAUAGA